rnacentral:rRNA from 1 species
GCUGGCGGCAGGCCUAACACAUGCAAGUCGAACGGCAGCACAGCAGUAGCAAUACUGUGGGUGGCGAGUGGCGGACGGGUGAGGAAUGCAUCGGAAUCUGCCUAUUUGUGGGGGAUAACGUAGGGAAACUUACGCUAAUACCGCAUACGUCCUACGGGAGAAAGUGGGGGACCUUCGGGCCUCACGCAGAUAGAUGAGCCGAUGCCGGAUUAGCUAGUUGGCGGGGUAAAGGCCCACCAAGGCGACGAUCCGUAGCUGGUCUGAGAGGAUGAUCAGCCACACUGGAACUGAGACACGGUCCAGACUCCUACGGGAGGCAGCAGUGGGGAAUAUUGGACAAUGGGCGCAAGCCUGAUCCAGCCAUGCCGCGUGUGUGAAGAAGGCCUUCGGGUUGUAAAGCACUUUUGUCCGGAAAGAAAAGCUUCGGGUUAAUAACCCGGGGUUAUGACGGUACCGGAAGAAUAAGCACCGGCUAACUUCGUGCCAGCAGCCGCGGUAAUACGAAGGGUGCAAGCGUUACUCGGAAUUACUGGGCGUAAAGCGUGCGUAGGUGGUUUGUUAAGUCUGAUGUGAAAGCCCUGGGCUCAACCUGGGAACUGCAUUGGAAACUGGCUGACUAGAGUGCGGUAGAGGGGUGUGGAAUUCCCGGUGUAGCAGUGAAAUGCGUAGAUAUCGGGAGGAACAUCUGUGGCGAAUGCGACACCCUGGACCAUCACUGACACUGAGGCACGAAAGCGUGGGGAGCAAACAGGAUUAGAUACCCUGGUAGUUCCACGCCCUAAACGAUGCGAACUGGAUGUUGGGGGCAACUUGGCCCUCAGUAUCGAAGCUAACGCGUUAAGUUCGCCGCCUGGGAAGUACGGUCGCAAGACUGAAAACUCAAAGGAAUUGACAGGGGCCCGCACAAGCGGUGGAGUAUGUGGUUUAAAUUCGAUGCAACGCGAAGAACCUUUACCUGGUCCUUGGACAUGCACGGUAACUUUNNAAAAGAUGAANNNUGNCCUUNCGGGAACCGUGACACAGGUGNCUGCAUNNNUGNUCGUCAGCUCGUGUUCNNGNNNUGG